rnacentral:lncRNA from 1 species
GGAUAACAUGACAUAGCAGGAAUAAUACUGCCUUUUCUUUCUGGCAUGGAUCAAGAGAAAAGAAAAUACAAGAAAACAGACAGAAGCAAGGCAAGGUACUUCUAUGGAAGGGUGAGCCCUCACAGAUGGAGCAAUGGGGCGCGCACACCUGAACAAGGGAGGGGAAGGAGUUCUUAUCCCUGAUGCAUGUGACCCCUGCUGCUGUGUCCUUCCCCUAUUGGCUAAGGCUUCUGACAGCUUUGGAGAUUGUGACAUUGGAAUAAAGGAAAAACGUACAGGACUCAUGAAGCGCUGAAAUGUUCACAAAUAUCAAGCAAAAGUCAAUGAAAUUUAUUUUGAGCUAUUUACAUCAUUUAAUAAUUGAGCAAGGUAUACUCCUAUGAACAAAAUUUGGAGCAUGUUUGUCUCUCUCUGCCUGGCGUCUUCAGAAUUUGGAAACUAGUUAUGGUUUAUAAUCAGCUAUAGAAUUUUAACACGUGCUCUCAAAUGCAAGUUUCUGAUAACUUUGGAGAUUGUGACAUUGGAAUAAAGGAAGAGCUGGAAUGUUCAUGAAUAUCAAGCAAAAGUCAUGGAAAUUUAUUUUGAGCUAUUUACAGCAUUUAAUAAUUGAGCAAGGUAUACUCCUAUGAACAAAAUUUGGAGCAUGUUUGUCUCUCUCUGUCUGCCUGGCAUCUACAGAAUUUGGAAACUAGUUGAUGCAAUUGGAGAAACUGGUUGUUUUACCAAGGCUUUGACUGGAAGGAUAUGCUUCCCUUUAAGAAACCAAGCUCAACUUACAGAGCUGAUAAAACCCCUUUGGGAAAACUGGCCUCAUACCUUGUCUACACAGUCCCCAUGCAGGGUUCCUAACGUGUGGUGAGUAAAGCAUGUCACUUUCUAACAGGUCCAGGAACCCCAUGUUCUUGGGACCUCAAGAAGAGUGGAGUUUACCAAUUCACAGGUAUUCGAGGGUAAAAACCCAUGGGUGGUUUCAGCUUCAGGAAGUCCUAUCUGAGAUUCCUUGUGGAACAGCGUUCCAUCAAAGCCAAUUUAAAAAGCCUAUGUCAAAAUAAUUAUUCUUGCUACACUCUAUGCAAAUAAACAGGCCAAGUAUAGGACUAAAGUUUAUUUUGCAAACAGCUUAGUCCUAUCAUGAUUUGUUUUUAACAAAGAUGAAGACUGGAGAAAGAAAUUAUGUUUCAAAACUUAUUAUACAUUUGUCAUUAAAUUCUAGACUCAUUA